rnacentral:rRNA from 1 species
GACGAACGCUGGCGGCGUGCUUAACACAUGCAAGUCGAACGAAGUGGCGAACGGGUGAGUAAUACGUGGGUAACCUGCCCUCCUUUUUGGGAUAAGCCUUGGAAACGGGGUCUAAUACCGAAUAAAGGGGGAUGGGCUCGCGGCCUAUCGGCUUGUUGGUGGGGUGAUGGCCUACCAAGGCGGUGACGGGUAGCCGGCCUGAGAGGGUGACCGGCGACAGAGGGACGGAGCGAAGGCCCAGACGCCUACGGGAGGCAGCAGUGGGGGAUAUGGCACAAUGGGCGAAAGCCUGAUGCAGCGAGUCCGCGGGGGGGAUGAGGGCUGUCGGGUUGUAAACCUCGGUCGCAAGCGAACGGGUAGGGGGAGAAGAAGCGCCGGCUAACUACGUGCCAGCAGCCGCGGUAAUAC